GAAUUUUUUUCCUUUUUUUUUUUUUAUAAGCACAAUAUGCGAUUUUUCCUUUGAAAAGAAGCCUCAGAAUGUCUACUUCGGAAUGAACAGGGCGCUUUUAGAAUGUUUCGAGGAAGAAAGGAACUCACGUGAUCCAUGAGCGUCCUUAUGCCUGUUUCCAGCUACUUUGCUAAAAUAUCUGCUCGUGGGCCCUGCUAGAUCGUUUUCGAAAGAAAAUGGGCAUCCCCCACCUCACCUCCCCCCCCUCCCCCGCCUAGGCCUCCCGGUGACACUGCUGUGGCUUAAAACCCUGUGCCCUGCGUCUGUAUGGUGGGUUUCUUUGCAAGACUUAACCCCGUGGAGCCAGCACUGUCCUGCGAAGCCUUCUUGUCUGCAAAUCGUGUCCUAUUAAAUCAACUGAACUUAGAUGCCAGAAAAGCCCAACGGAGGGGGAAAAAAAAGGAAAUUACCUUUAUGAAGGAACAGAAAUGACCUGUCUGUUCUUUUCGGGCCAAAGUUUUUUCACUUUUUCAGACCUAGAUUGUUUUUCUUUUAAUAAACAAAAGGUUCUCUAACAUGCACACCUGUGCACAUACAUACAUUCCCCGCCCCCCAAAUUUUAACAUGGUGCCUGUGACUCCCAUAGGCUUCGCUGCUUCUUUACCCUCACUACCCCAAAACUUUGCCAAGCGUUGUACCCUGGGAGGUGGAGGGGGCGUAAUAGAUUUUAGAGUUUUCAAAUAGAGAAUUGUAAUUUCUAAUGAUAUAGGACACCUUUCCUGCACCCUGGAGGUACACAGGUUCCAGGCUUUAUCUCUGGGGGAAGACAUAACUUCUGGAAACCAUAGAGGUGUCUCGUACUUCCCUCAUCCUCUCUUCAUCAUUCCUGCUCCCCCGCCCCUACCCCAACAGCCUACACUGCUGGCACUCCUGGGUCAUAUCCUUGGCUUUCCCUCAGGGAUGGCAAUUAGAAACUACGAUGUGCGACUGACCAUAUGUCAUUUAUUGUAGGGGUGCUUAUAAAACCGUGAUCCAUACGUGGAUUAUUCAAUGGCCCCUGUUAAGAAGACUCGAGACAUUUCAGACCUAUGAGGAAAAGCUUGCUUUCUUCCAAGGAACUGGGACUUGGGUUCUUUCAAAAGAAAGCUGGUGAAACAGGCCUUUUUGACGAUGGCCACAUACCUGUAAAGACUGGUGCCGUCUUGGAACUUGGCUGCGUUCGCUGACACAUAGAGAAGUUGUACACGUUUAAGGUGUUUAUGAUUACACACGGAAAUAAACCAUGCUUCAAACUGCUGAGCAUAGAGAGACGCCUGGGUGGCUCAGCGGUUGAGCAGCUGCCUUCAGCCCUGGGCGUGAUCCUGGAGUCCUGGGAUCGAGUCCCGCGUUGGGCUCCCUUCAUGGAGCCUGCUUCUCCCUCUGCCUGUGUCUCUGCCUC